AACUUACCUAUAAACCUCCCAGUUCUCAUAUCUCACAUAAACAUAAUGUACAUCGCCAGGAUUCAAAAUUCUAAAACUUUAAAAUUUACAAAAUCAUGAAAUAAUUCAACAAAUUAACUGAUCGAUGCAGAUCGAAACAAAAAAAAAAAGCAAAUGGGUUCGUCUAAAUGCCAUAAUCAGACUCCAAUAUCGCAUGCCCAGUGCCCACAUUCAAAUUCAUAGUCAAGUCCACAAUAGAUCUAGAAAUUUCCAAAACAUAUUCAAAGAAAAAUACAAACUUUUUCACCUUAAAUUGCAUAAAUUUCAAAUGGGUAACCAUAAAAUUAAAAACCCAUGAACUAACAAAUAAAUAAAACCCACAACCUUUGCUGCAGCAAUAUCGCCAUGAUCAUCGCAAGCUUUUACAAUUCCUCUUUUCGUCGGGUCUCAAAAGGGGUGAGGGAAAAUCAUGGUUUGGAGGAAGGAAUCCACGAGGAGGACAGAAGAAGACUGGAGAGAGGGUGAUUUAGAGGAAGUGAGGAAGGAGAGAGAGAGAGAGAGAGACUGAGGAAGCAAAGGCAGAGAGGAAGCAGCGGACGGAACAGAGAAAAGUGUUUGAGAUCUGAAAUGAAAUGGGAGUGAGACGGCUAGGGUCUGUAAAGUGAAGAAAUUUUAUAAAGCAUUAAACAUAAGCAACCUAUAAAUUAUAACAACAUAAAGCCUACAGUCAAGUUGGCUUGCAACGCCUAACCCCAACCUUCAAGGAAGGGGUUCAAACCCUAAUGCCAACACGUUUUUUUUAGUAUUUAUAUAUGAUUUUUUUUCGGUUUGGUUCAGUCCGAUUCGAUUUCUGGACCUCAAAAAUUGAAACUGAACCAGCCAGAUUCGGUUUGGUUUGGUUUAGCAGUUUCAGUUCGGUUUUUUUUUUCAGUUCGGGUUUUUUCGGCCUCGAUUCGGUUUGGUUUUUUAUUUUUUCAGUUUUCGGUUUUUUGAACCCACCCCUACAUAUAACAUUUAUAUGAGAUAGCUUAAACAAUAAUAUUUGCCCCUUAUAUAUUUCUAUCCCAAGAUUAAGAAAAUGUCCUAUUUUGGGGCAUUUCCCUACGUUAAAUGGGAUUGACUUGUAUUCAGAAACGUAGUGGAUGCUUUUCUCCCAUGUACUAAAUUGGUCUAUGUUUUCCUUUACUCAUUGUUCUUGCAAGGUGACAUGAGGUUUCACCUUCAACAUUUGAGAGAAGGAUUUUCUCACCUCUUGAUGUGCAUUAAGAAUCUUUUUCGCUUUCCAUACUCUUUUAUUCUCCUCACAUUAUUAAUGUGUUUCUUUAGUUUACUUAGAUUUUGUCUAAUUGGCUAAACUAAGCCAGAUUGGAAUAUUGAAAGGUCAUUUAAACUUCACAAUCUUAGCAAUUUUGUCCCACUAGGUGGACAUACGUAACGCUUUAGCUAGUACACGAAAGUGCAUACCAUGAUUCUUCGGAGUAGCACGAAUAUCCUAUGAAGGGAUCGAUCGCUUCGCCAAUGGGACAGCUAACUACGAAAUGUCAGGAGUUAGGGGGGGGCUAGCGACUCCGAGGGAAGGGGUGAAUAGACCACGAGCAGCACGCUUGCUUCGGAGGGGAUCCGCAAGGCUUUAGCCCAAGACUUAUUAGAAAGGUAAUGAACUAUGAGGCGGUGUUGACCCUGCAAUAGCUCCCUACCUAUACCGCUGCCGGUGCUUUAUCAGAUGCCGAGCCCACUAGUUCGAUGCAUCAAACCGCUACCGCCAAAAAAUGUUGACCCUAAAAAUCACAACGCCUAUAUGGCACGCAGGCUGAGUAACUACUGAGUUAAUUACAUCCUUAUGUGCAUGAUUGCUUUUAUGCAUCUACCAACUCGCUAUUGAGCUUGGUUGGGUGAGUAAAAUGAAUGUGGCUAUGAGGUGACGAACGUGCUGCUUACUACUACAUCGAGCUACUUCGGCCCAGAAAGAAACACUCUCGGCCAAGGGUUCUAUAACCUGAAGACAAGUUUAUGCAACUCAUACAAAGCUCCAGAUUUUCUGCACCAGGUUCAGCCACUUCAACUAUAUUUGUGAGAAUAUAGGUGCCCCAAAUCAGUGUCAAACUGUAGGUACAAAUAUACUCAAAGGCGAUGAGUGUCUUUAUGGUGAAUGUUGUUCAGUCAUCUAAAUGUCAAACACUGAAUGAUACUUGUGAGUAACCGAUCAUAGAACAUUCCAUUUUGCGGAGAUAACUGAUAAAGUGAUCUCGUUUUGCGAAAGAAUCAAAGACUAUUCGCCUACUAAGACUUGGGAUAGAUAAUCAGUUAAAAAAUGAGUAAGUAUUUUUUAACCAAACUGAGAAAAAUCCUACACCGACCUGAUUCUAUGACUCCAGUGAUGUUUAACUAAACUAAAUUUGUGUCGGUUUGUCAACGUAGUGAUGUUUAAUGAAACUAAAUUUGUGUCGACAUGUUAGUAAGGUUUUGCGCAGAGUGUUUGUUUGUGUGUUGAAUUGAAGGUCCUUUUUACAUUGAAAACUCCAUUGUAUUUAUAAGAACAAAUUUCUUGAUGGUUAAGUCUAUUGAGUGAUACAAUUCUCAUAAUAUUUUAAUUUCUCAUCGUAUUCUCAGAAUAUACUCAUAAUUAUUCUCAGCCGAACUCUAAAGUCAAGUCUCACCCCCUACCACUCUAAACUUAGACUUAUUAAGCUACUAAUUCACAUUUCAUACAUAAACUAAUCCUAAUCCUUAUGUGAUUAAUCCCAAAGGCUCUCCAACGAUCAAGUUAGUAAGAAGUAUUAAACUCAAGCAGUGGUCAACAAAAUUAAAGUAUAAAGAUUGUGUUAACAAAGAUGAACCAUAUACAGGUGUCUUUAUAUGGUAGAGAGAGAGUCCUUUUUAGGAUAGAAUCCUUGUUCUAAAAUUGGAGAAUCCUAUAGGAUAUCUAGAAGCAGAUAUUGCACCCUCUUAGGUGUUGUGAUUACUUGUGGCUUGCACUAAUUCCUACAAUCUAGGAACUCCAAGACUUUUGAGGAUCUGAUUGUGUUCAUGUAUGGAUCAGAUUGCGUGUCUUGCAAAACACGCAUGGUCAUUCAGUGGAAUAGCUCAGACUUCACCUAUUGGGCCGAAACAAGAUGAUGGUGGCACUGUUGCUCCAUUUGAUCCAGCUCUGCUUGGAGCUGGUGAGUCCAUGACAGGACUUCUAAGGUAUCAAAUUUGGAUUGGCCUUACUCCUUCCCAUUGCAUUUAAUCAAGGAAGAAAUACGAAUACAAGUCUCUCACACGUUCAUCCAUUUCUCAUGAAGCCUCUUCAACAUAGUGGUAUUUUCGAAUUCCAUAUCGACACCAAGAGAGACAGAAAGAGAAGUCGUACGGGAAAAAAGGGUUGGGAGCUAAGGUGGUUGUGGUGCUCACCGAAAAUGCAAUGGGAUGGUGAUGGUGGUGCUCCGGUUGAUGGUAGAGGGAGGAUGAGAGGGAUGAGAGUGGGAGAGAUGAGAGCUGGCCUAGAUUGGUUGGUGCAGUUCGUCAAUGUCGCAGCGGCAAGGUGGUGGCGGUGUUCUCGUGGAGUAAAGGUGAGUGAGAAAGAGAAGGGGAAUCGAGAGAAUUAGAAAGGGAAAAGAUAAGAGCUGAGGGCAAGUGAGUGGGAACAGAGAGAGAGAGAGAAAGAAAAUGAAAAUAUUUUUUUUUUAAGAAGAGAGUGAUAUCUGAGUAGGUAGAGAGAGAGUCACGUGAGAGAGUGAAUAAAAUGGAAAGGGAGAGAUUGAGAGAUGUGACAUGAGAGAGGGAAGAACUAAUUGGGUGAAAUGAUGAGUCUGGUGGGUGUUGUUGACAAGAGUGGGUUUUAGAACCCAAAAUAAUUAUUUGUUUAAAACCACUUGUAUGGCCAAGUAGUGAUGCACACUGCACGAGGUCCGUUAUUAGAAUUUGAAAUUAUCUUAGCUAAAUUACACUAUUUCGAAUAUAACCCCAAAAAAAUUACACUAUAUGUGGCCACGUGUUUGUAAAAUUGAGUACUAUUCGAAAAUAGUAAAAUAAGAUUGAAAAAGUGAAAGGAAAAAUUGAGGUCCAUGUGGAAGGCCUACGUGGCAUCUCAAGGGUAUUUUGAUAAUUUCACUACUAAUGGGAAUAAAAUACGAUAAACCUCAAGACGGGAUGUCACACCAUGGACCCAAGGUCAGUGGAAAAAAUGAACUCGUGGGCGGUGCGCGAGCAAAAGUAUAUAAAAAAAUUUAAAAAAAAAUCUUCUCUUAUUCAAUAAUCUGAAAACCCUUACAAGGUAGACAAAAUAAAUAAAAACCCUUGAAUCCCUCGUCUAACACAACCUCAGCUUGUAUAAAAUAUGAAAAUAAUAUCAAGGCUUUAGUCACGGAGUGUCAUAUCACAUCGUCCCUUCACGUGUUGGUUAUCCUUCAUAAUAUGUAGCUCACCAUGUGAUCCCUAAAUUGGCCAUUUUGCCCUAGUAUCCCCUUGUGCCAUACAUUUAUCUCUUGAAUAACUCAGCACUAAAGUUCUCAUACUUCAUGAACAUCUCCAACAAUUCCACAUAGAACAUAUAUAUACACAUCAAAAGCGAUUACACGAAAUCAAACAUGCUUGACUUAAAAAUGUAUCGAGAUUUAUAAAUACAAUAAAUCCCAUGAUAACUCAUGGUUUUCAUAGUAUCCGAAAACAAGAAUAUUUUGAACACAUUACAUAAACUAUUCACCUCGAUCGAUAGCUAGAACCUCGACAAGACAAGCCCAUUAACAAUUUCCACACAACCAACUCACUAACACUAUGUUUGAAGGAACAAAUUUAAGAUUGCUAAGGAAAUUUAAAAUGACGAGAAUUUAUUUUCUAGAAUUUGUGAAUUUUCUUGUUUGGUUAACCUAAAAGAACAAUAGAAUUGAACACGGAGUUUGUUAUUUUUAAACUCUCAAUUAUAGAAAUUGGAAAAUGACACCUAUUUACAUGAAAUUUAAACUUGAGAAUUGAAGGUCCCAAAUUCCAAGUUUUUUUCCAUACGGAAAUUCUAAAUUUCUAUGUUUAUGAAUCCAAACAAGGGAAUUGGUGCAUGUCAAUUUAUAAAUUCUGACUUUUAUCGAAAUUCCAAGUUUAUUUCCCUCAUCCAAACAUAGUGUAACCCUUGACUCUCUUUCUUUUCUCUCUCUCAAUAUAUAUUAUAUUUCAAUAUAUAUAUAUAUAUAUUAUGCAGGCAAGACUACUACUAUAUAUAUGCAUGCAAUGCAACGUCAUAACUAAAGAGAGGUAAAAAGUUGAUAUAAAUAAAAUUUGAGAAGUAGUGAUGCUAUUUAUACGACACAUAGGUCGGCCAUGUUGGUGAAUAAGCACUUGAGGUGUCGAAUGGCUAGAGCAAUGACAUGAGGAUAUGACAUUAGGAAGGGAGGUGGAGCUGGACAUAAUUUCUAAGCAGUUGGUGUUUAAAUGCAUGCAAAUAAGAUGAGGGAACCAUUGACACGCACUUAAAUGGAUUACUACAUACUAGUAAUGAGAUCAAAUUAAGUUCUAUAAGUGUCAUGCAAAAUGCUAGUUAUCAAGACAACACGUCAAGGAAUCAAAGUAUGAUUAAUACAUGUAAGUAAAAUAUCACACAACUUUUCAAUUAAACUUGAAAGUAAAUAAAUAUAAUUUAAAAUACAGGGUCUUACGAAUGUCUUUAUGGUGAAUAUGUGAUCGGAUCAUAUUUAUAUAUAUUUUUACUUCAAAUUCACUCGUCUUUUCUUAGUUAGUUCCUUAUAUUUUGAGCUAUUUACAUUAUUUUUGUGUUUAUAGGAUUUGUUUAUGCAAAGAAAAUAAAAAUGGCACAAAUGAGUUUUAAAUAAUAAAUUCAUCGAAAAUUGCUUUAGUCGUUCUCAUUUUGUCAUGGGUUAUUGGUAGAAUUAUGUCACGGAUUAUAGGUCAUGGAAGUUAGGCUAAAUUUAUUAGGUAUGCAUUAGAAAUUAUAUGGCAUUAGAAAUUAUAUGAUAUAUCUAAAAUUGAAGUGUUUGCAGUUGGUGAGUAAAGAAAAGAAACAUAAAGAAGCUGCCUUUGCAGCUGGAACAAAUGGAAAAAAAGGGAUCCAAGAGACAGCAAAACGUGAAAGAAUAAAAUAAGGGAAGCUGCCUUUGGGCAGUGGAAAAAUAAGAAGAAAAAGGAGAAUCCAAGGCAUGAGACACGGGGGAAUAAUAGUGGAACAAAAAGAAUGGCAGAAAAUAAAGAUAGACUUGCGGAGAGACAGGUGGGCUGUCUGUGACGAAAAAGAAAUAGCUGCGUGGGCAGCUGUGUGAUGACAGUCAAAAGCUAGGGUGAAAGCUGCUUUGCAGCUGGUCAAAGGGAAUAAAAAUAAGCUGGAAAAGUGGAGGGCAGCCUGGCUGCCAAAGUGAAAGACAUGCGCAUAAUAA
rnacentral:lncRNA from 1 species